rnacentral:misc_RNA from 1 species
UACGAACCGGACAAACGUUAUUCGGAAUCACUGGGCUUACAGGGUGCGUAGGCGGCCUGGAAGGUGGGGUGUGAAAUCCCUCGGCUCAACCGAGGAAUUGCGCUCCAAACCACCAGGCUUGAGGGAGACAGAGGUGUGCGGAACUGAUGGUGGAGCGGUGAAAUGCGUUGAUAUCAUCAGGAACACCAGUGGCGAAAGCGGCACACUGGGUCUCUUCUGACGCUGAGGCACGAAAGCCAGGGGAGCGAACGGG